GUUCUAUAAAAACGACAGAAUUAUUUAUAAAAAUUAAUCAUUGUCUAAGUGUAUUCUGCAGGUUCUCUCUAUAUUUAUAAUUUAUAAUAUCAUGAAAGUAAGUUGGUAAACUUAAAAAAACUAUUAUAUUAUCAAUAACUAUAAUAUGAAUAAGUAAUUUAAAAUUUUUAACACUCAGUACUUCUGUAAAACUUCUCAAGAAAACUACAGGUAUCUAAUCCUCCGUUGUGCCGCCAAAUGUAAUAUAAAAAAUAUUAUUGAGUAUAUUUUUAUUGAGUUUUCCCUGAAAUAGAAACUAUUGUGUUGAAUUAUAUUAUCUGUUAUAUAACGUAGCCAGAAAAUGUCUACUUGGGGAACCAAUAAUUUAUGAAAUACUUAUAGAGGGUUUCUCCUCCACUCACCCUUAGGUGGUAUACCAUACACAAAUCUUAUCAAUUUAUAAUUUACUUUUGAUUGGUAGUUUGUUAAAAAAUUGUUUUUUACAACAAGUUUACCCAUUACAAUAAUAAAAAAAAAGUACCCGAUUAAAAAAAAAAAAAAAAAUAGAGAAUUACCCGUAUCUUCAAUUUUGGAAUACAUUUUUUAUACUAUGAAAAA